CAUAUAGAGCUUUGUCUUGUCUGCCAUAUCUCUCCUCCUCUUCAAUAAUUCUUCCACGGUAUCUCUCUUCAAAAAUCCUCUUCUAGGUCUUUGUUCGUUGGUUUCCCUCUCCCUCUCAUCAAAAUCCCCAAUUCGUCUAACAUUUUUCGGCGAUUGUUAGGGUUUUGCGCAAAAAAUGAAUCACAUCGCGUCGAUUGGCCGGAGCUAGGUGUUCGUUUGCUCCCCUCUUCUUCUCUCUCCUUUGGGGCAUUCUCACUUCUCCACCAACACAUUUCCAAGAUGGGAUUGUUCUCGGCCUAUGCGUGUAUUGGGUCAUAAUGGGGAGAUCAACACUCUUUGUAGAAAUGUUGUUUGGGCCAAUUAUUUAUUGUUUGGGCCAAUUAUUUAUUUACUUAAUUUUCCGGCCUAAAUACCUACCAGACAGCUAGAUUAAAACUUUUACCAGUAUUACAAAGAAGAUAUUUGCAAAUAUUGCAGUUCGUCAUGCAUAUCGGUGAGAAGAGACUGAAACUUUUUACCAGUAUUACUAGAAGAUAUUAAGUUCCGUAGUUAUGAUGAGAAUUUCCUUAUCAGACAACCUAAUUCAGGUUAUUCAACAGUAAUUUUUUAUUUAAUUAGGUGUAUACUACGUAUCUGUUAACAAUGAGGAGGUUGUUUUUCUUUUGACUAUUUUAUUUGAUAGUUUGAUGCGUAGUAUAAAGUUCUUAUGUGGGCUAGCUCAACUAUCACCUCUUAGUUUUUUCUGAUAAAUCUGGCAGGUUCGAGACAUUAAAUCUCUGUACCUGUUCCAUAAUCAGCCAGCUUGGUACAAGUUUGUGACAGCUAUAUUUUGUCAUGCAAAUUGGAACCAUCUUCCUAGCAACCUUUCUGUACAUUUUCGGGGAGCUUGUGAAAUAUGAAAGAGGGUUGCUCCAGAGAGUUUAUAUAUUGUGUUGUUGUUGCUCUGGAUUUGGAGAUAGUGAGUAGCAAAGUAACAGAUUCGCCUCUCAGUUUUAUUACACUCAAGCAAACGCUAUCUCUCUCAUGACGGUUGCUAACCUAAGGUGAAUGUAUUGAUCUCCAUCGUCUUCACUGUCUAAUGGUAAUGCUAGCUUCUGCACUAGCAAAUCUUCUUCACUGUCUAAUAGUAUACUUUUAAUAUAACUCUUUUUGUUUCCCUUUAAUCUUGAUUGCAAUCUUGGAUGCCUAUAAUGUCAAUAGCGGCGAAUCUGAUGCUGCAGUUGACUUGUUGACCACUUGGAGUUGGAGGAGCCUGUUUCUUCGAGUGAUUGCUCAUUGGUGAUGGCCGUAGAUGUGACAGGUGAAUCUAGCAGUUCUGCUGGUCCAUUUGAUUUAGCAGUUUCUACCUCAUCUAUCUACGUGGAAAUCAAAUGUGAACAACUCAAACUUAGUUUUACAUUGGUAUAUUUGAAUAGAAGAGUGGUUAAAUUGUUGUUUUUUUUUUUAAUUACACUUCGAAGUUGAUGAUCUAUGAAUGAUAUUGGUUCCCGAUUUAUUUUUGUAUUUUCUUUUUUUUACAUAAGAAAGGUCUUUCAUUUUCUUUUAUUUGUACCUUAUAUGGAUCAUUUUGUCAAUAAAUAAUAGGAUUUUGUUAUUGAAUGAAA